UACGAAGGGGGCUAGCGUUGUUCGGAAUUACUGGGCGUAAAGCGCAUGUAGGCGGCCAUUCAAGUCGGGGGUGAAAUCCCAGGGCUCAACCCUGGAACUGCCUUCGAUACUGUCUGGCUCGAGUAUGGAAGAGGUUGGUGGAACUGCGAGUGUAGAGGUGAAAUUCGUAGAUAUUCGCAAGAACACCAGUGGCGAAGGCGGCCAACUGGUCCAUCACUGACGCUGAGAUGCGAAAGCGUGGGGAGCAAACAGG
rnacentral:rRNA from 1 species